GUGCUUGCUUUGGCAGCACAUAUACUAGAAUUUGAACGAUACAGAGAAGAUUAGUAAGACCCCUGCGCAAGGAUGACAUGCAAAUUCGUGAAGCAUUCCAUAUUUAA